UUUAACAGUUAAAGGGCUUUAUUAUCUAUCCCAUCAGAGUAUGAGCAGGCAUGGAAACAUAGCUUGCCCUCGUUCUUUUGAAUGUUCUGAAUUCUAAAUGUAAUGAAGUAAGUAUGGUGGAAAAUCAUUUUCUUAACACAGAUCCUUUACCUUAAAGAGUUUCCAAGCUACAUUUAGGGUCAGACCUAGCACAGAGGGGGACCCUCAAUAAAUAUUUCAAUUAGACUGAAACUACCUAUUCCAAAAAAAAGAGGUCACUGUAGGUGACCUGUCAACAUACAAGCAAGUCUUAGCUACUUUGAUGAUAAACACAGCUUUGACUUUUUCUGCUGAUGAAUUAAAAACCACUUACUUUGGGUGAAGGAGAGUUUUAUUGAUUUUAUAAAAUCAGCAUUGUUCUAGAGACCUAGAUGGAAACUUGGGUGUUUUUCUUCUUUGGUCCCAGUCUAUGGAGUAUACCAGGACUGGGUAUGAGGUCCUGUUGCAUGGGCCCACAGGCCUGCAGGAAAGCUGAGUAAGCUAUACCAACACGUGCACCGGAUACAUGCAGGGCCCGCCCAGCCGGACACGGCCAGUGCCAGAUUGUGAUGUACCAGCGGCCACAUUUUAGAAGAGGAUGUCUUCCCAAAGACGUCAGCACUCACAAGGCUCAAGCCUCAUCCACACAGGUAGGUGGAUGUGAGCCAGCACAAGGCAAGACUUUCAAGAGAGUGGUUGACUUUGGAAGCAAAUUCCUGCAGGCUCUAGGAAGAGGGAGGAGUGAGAAGGGGCAGACAAGCCCCUGCUGCCUGCAGUGAACAAACUCCCUGGCACCACUUACAGCGGACUUGCCCUGUUCUCUGGAGGAAAAUCACCAUGUUGUGAGUAGCCUAUAGAGAGACUGAUGGCAAGAAAUUGGUGUUUCUGGUCAGCAAGGACUGGAGUCCUGCCAAUAGCCAUAUGGAUGAACUUGGAAGUGACCUUCUAAGUUAUGCCAGAGCCACAUGACGGAGCUUGGAAACAAAUCUGAUGCCAGCUGAGCUCUGACAUUUCCUUCUGAUUCCUUAACUGCAACCUGUGUUAGCCCCUGAGCCAGGACAUCCAGCUAAGGGACACAUGCAUUCUGGACCCUCGGAAAUGGGGGAAUAGUAAAUGCUGUUUUAAACCACUGAGUUCUGGUGUAAAUUGUUGAACAGCAAUAGAAAACUGAUAUGAGGUGGCUAGGGACUAGGAGACCCAGGGACAGUGGCUGUGCUGUGUCCUGAGGACUGUGUGGUCCCUGGUUCCAGUCCCUG